ACCUUUUAAUAAUAUUAUUCUUUUCAAGUUAUAAUAACAAAAAUAGUAACCGAUUUGAUAGUACUGAAUACCAUUGUACCAUUGUGAAUAGGAUAGAGUGAAAUUCGGUUUAAUUUUUUGUUUCUUCUAUUAUCCUGUUUUGGACAUACAUUAACUCGGAGAAGGAAGAAGAUGUCCAAACGUGGUAAUUGGAAGAACUGGUAUGAGUUUAUAUUUUCCUGCAUUGGUUGCCUUGUGGGACUGGGAAAUAUCUGGAGGUUCCCAUAUCUGUGCUACAAAAAUGGAGGGGGUGCAUUUCUUAUUCCAUACUUCAUAUUCAUAAUGCUGUGCGCAAUUCCUAUCUUUUUCCUGGAAAUGUCGUAUGCACAAUUUUCAAAUCUCGGACCUGGUAAAGCAUGGAUAUGUGUACCAUUAUUGAGAGGUA